rfam:Triticum aestivum genome assembly, contig: Triticum_aestivum_CS42_TGACv1_scaffold_406244_5BL
UUACUACUCCCUCCGUCCGAAAAUACUUGUCCUAGAAAUGGAUAAAAUAGGUGUAUCUAUAACUAAAAUAAGUCUAGAUACAACCAUUUCUAAGACAAGUAUUUUCGGAUGGAGGGAGUACAUC